CCUACGGGUGGCUGCAGUAGGGAAUUUUGCUCAAUGCUGGAAACCCUGACGCAGCAACGCCGCGUGGAUGACGAAGGUCUUCGGAUCGUAAACUCCUUUCGACAGAGAAGAUAAUGCCUGUAUCUAACGAAUUAUCACUGGCUAACUCCGGGCUAGCAGCCGCGGUAAUACGGAGGGUGCAAGCGUUACUUGGAAUGACUGGGCGUAAAGAGCUCGUAGGCGGGAUAGCAAGUCAGAAGUGAAAUCCUAUGGCUUAACCAUAGGACGGCAUGUGAUACUAUAAUUCUAGAGUAUGAGAGAGGUAUGUAGAAUUCUUGGUGUAGGGGUAAAAUGCGUAGAGAUCAAGAGGAAUACUGAUAGCGAAGGCGACCAGCUGGAACGUAACUGACGCUGAGGCGCGAAAGCGUGGGGAGCAAACAGGAUUAGAUACCCCUGUAGUC
rnacentral:rRNA from 1 species